rnacentral:rRNA from 1 species
GAUCUUUAUAUGUUAAAUUAAUUAAUAAAAAUUAGUUAUUAUUUAAUUUUUAAUUAAUUAAUAUAUUAUAUUGGGGUAAUAAUAAAAUUUUAUAAAUUUUUAUUUUUUUUUAUUCAAUUAUAAUUGUUUAUAAUGAUCCAAUAAUAUUGAUUAUAAAGUUAAGUUACCUUAGGGAUAACAGCGUAAUGAUUUUUGAGAGUUCUUAUCAAUAAAAUAGUUUGU